rnacentral:rRNA from 1 species
AGAUUGAACGCUGGCGGUAUGCCUUACACAUGCAAGUCGAACGGCAGCACGGGGGCAACCCUGGUGGCGAGUGGCGAACGGGUGGGUAACAUAUCGGAACGUGCCCUGGAGUGGGGGAUAACUAGUCGAAAGACUAGCUAAUACCGCAUACGAUCUACGGAUGAAAGUGGGGGAUCGCAAGACCUCAUGCUCGUGGAGCGGCCGAUAUCUGAUUAGCUAGUUGGUGGGUAAAGGCCUACCAAGGCAUCGAUCAGUAGCUGGUCUGAGAGGACGACCAGCCACACUGGGACUGAGACACGGCCAGACUCCUACGGGAGCAGCAGUGGGAAUUUGGACAAUGGGCGCAAGCCUGAUCCAGCAAUGCCGCGUGAGUGAAGAAGGCCUUCGGUUGUAAGCUCUUUGUCAGGAAGAACGGUCUAGGCUAAUACCUGAGCUAAUGACGUACUAGAAGAAUAAGCACCGCUAAC